GAACUUUGAACUAGAGAGAGAUGAUUUAGGGUAUCUGCCAGAAGAAAUUUCUAAGCAACAAAGAAUUCAAGAGGUGACUUUGGUGCUACUAAAGGCAUUCAGUUUUAAAAGGGAAACAGAGCAUAAAAGUUCAGAAAAUUUGCAGUCUGACCAUUUCAUAGAAAAGAAAAUCCCAUUUUCUGAGGAGAAAUUCAAGCCAGCUACAGAAAUUUGCAUAAGUAAAGAGGAACCAAAUGUUAAUCACCAAGGCAAUGGGGAAAAUGUCUCCAGGGUGUGUCAGAGGCCUUCACAGCAGCCCCUCCCAUCACAGGCCUGGAGGUAUUGGAGGAAAAAAUAGCUUUGUGGGCCAGGCCCAGGGUCCCUCUGCUGUCUGCAACCUAGAGACUUGAUGGCCUGCAUUCCAGUUGCUCCAGCUGUGAAUAAAAGGGGCCAAGGUACAGGUUGGGUUGUUGCUUCAGAGGGUGUAAGCCCCAAGCCUUGGCAGCUUCCACCUGGUAUUGAGCCUGUGGGUGCACAGAAGUCAAGGAUUGAGGUUUGGGCACCUCUGGCUAGAUUUCAGAAGAUGUAUGGAAAUGCCUGGAUGCCCAGAAAAAAGUUUGCUGCAGAAGCAGGGCCCUUAUGGAGGACCUCUGUUAGGGCAGUGCAGAAGGGAAAUCUGGGGUCAGAGCCCCCACACAGACUCCCUACUGGGCACCACCUAGUGGAGCUGUGAGAAGAGGGCCACAGUCCUCCAGACCCCAGAAGAUAGACCCAUAUUCAGCUUGCACUGUGCAUCUGGAAAAGCCACAGACACUCAACACCAGCCCAUGAAAGCAGUCAGAAGGGGGGCUAUGCCCUGCAAAGCCACAGGGGUGGAGCUGCCCAAAACCAUGCAAACCCACCUCUUACUUUAGUAUGACUUGGAUGUGAGACAUGGAGUCAAAGGAGAUCAUUUUGGAGCUUCAAGAUUUGAUUGCCCUGCUGGAUUUUGGACUUGCGUGGGGCCUGUAGCUCCUUUGUUUUGGCCAAUUUCUCCCAUUUGGAAUGGCUGUAUUUACCCAAUACCUGUACCCCCAUUGUAUGUAGGAAGUAACUAACUUGCUUUUGAUUUUACCAGCUCAUAGGCGGAAGGAACUUGCUUUGUCUCAGAUGAGACUUUGGACUUGGACUUUUGGGUUAAUGCUGAAAUGAGACUCUGGGGGACUGUUAGGAAUGCAUGAUUGGUUUUGAAAUGGGAAGACAUGAGAUUCUGGAGGGGCCAGGGCAGAAUGAUAUGGUUUGGUUCUGUGUCCUCACCCACAUCUCAUCUUUUAGCUCCCAUAAUUCCCAUGUGUUGUGGGAGGGACCUGAUGAGAGAUGAUUGAUUUAUGGGAGCAGGUGUUUCCUGUGCUAUUCUCAUGAUAGCGAAUGGGUUGAGGCCAGGUGUAGUGGCUCAUGCCUGUAAUCCCAGCACUUUGGGAGGCCAAUGUGGGUGGAUCACAAGGUCAGGAGUUCGAGACCAGCCUGACCAACAUAGUGAAACCUUGUCUCCACUAAAAAUACAAAAAAAAAAAAUAGCUGGGAAUGGUGGUGUGGUCCUGUAAUCCUGGCUACUCAGGAGGCUGAGGCAGGAGAAUUCCUUGAACCUGGGAGGCAGAGGUUGCAGUGAGCUGAGAUUGUGCCACUGCACUCCAGCCUAGAUGACAGAGUGAGACUCUGCCUCAAAAAAAUAAAUAAUAAUAAUAAUAAAAGAUAGUGAAUGGGUUUCUCAAGUCUGAUGGUUUAAAAAUGGGAAUUGCCCUGCACAAGGUGUCUUUGCCUGCUGCCAUCCACAUAAGCUGUGACUUGCUUCUCCUUGCUUUCCACCAUGAUUGUGCGGCUUCUCUAGUCACGUAGAACUGUAAGUCCAGUUAAACCUUUUUCUUUUAUAAAUUGCUCAGUCUUAGGUAUGUCUUUAUUAGCAGUGUGAAAAUGGACCAAUACACUGCCCUUAAUUGUCUUUUUAUUCACUGUUACUGGUUUAAAAUCUGUUUUAUCUGAUAAAAGAAUAGCAAUCCCUGCUCUGUGUUGUUUUCCAUUUGCAUGAUGUAUCUUUCUUCACCCCUUUACAUUGAGCUUGAGGGUGUCAUUACAGAUUAGGUGGGUCUCUUGUAGCAGUAGAUGAUUGGGUCUCUCUUUGUUUUUUUUUUCUUUUUAUCCAGUUUGCCAAUCUAGAUAUUUUAAGUGCAGCAUUUAGACUAUAUACAUUCAAAGGUAAUAUUGAUAUGUGAGGCUUUGAUUCUGUCAUAGUUUGUUAGGUAGUUACUUUGAAUCACCCAAUGUCUGCCUUAAUAUUCACAUGGAACUCUCCCUGUGUGCUUGUCUGUCUCCAAAUUUCCCCUUUUAUAAGGACAUGAGUCAUAUUGAAUUAAGAGCCCACCUUACUCAAGCACGACCUCAUCUAAACUAUUAUUAUAUAUAAAUAUGUCUGCAAUUACCCUAUUUCCAAAUAAGGUCACAUUCUAAAGUACUCAGGAUUAGGACUGCAACAAACAGAUGUUGUGGAGACACAAUUCAACACAUAAGACUUUGAGACUUUGCUUCCAAUAUGGAAUUGAUAUCCCAAAACCCAUAUGAGGUGCCUUCUCUCUGAGACUUUUAGCCUGAAUCUACUAAUGUGAAGGAGGAGGGUUAGUUGCUACGGUAGAUGCUAUUUUGCUAAUGUUCCAUAGAAGUGAAGGCAGUGAGGUUGAGAGUUGAGGGGCUCAGUGGGGAGGAUACUGUUGUGGCUGCUCCAGGGAUUGCAUUUGAAUUUUGUCUGGGUUCUUGAUGACCUAGAUUCCCUUGGUUCCUUCCAAUUCUCUUAGCUUUAUUUGCCCACAUGUCUCCAAAUUCUUGAGUUGUUUAAUAACUUUCCAGUGAAAGUCCUGUUUGGCUCCAGUUAGCCAGAGUUGGUUUCUGUUGUGUAUAAGCAAUAAACUUGUCAAGUACACAUACUUCAUGAUAUUUUAUAUCUUUUCAGUUCAUCCUAUAUUAAAAAGUAAGAAAAUAAUUCAAUUGCAUAAAUCAGGAAAUUCUUUAAUUAGACCUUUAAAGUUAAACAGCCAUUACAAUGAACAAAUUCCAUGUUACUGGAAAUAAUAUGGUUUUGUUUCUAAUUGAGUUUAAGGUAACUAACUUCAGUCUGAGCAAAUGAGAACUAUGGUAUGAUUAAAUUAUAUAUAUCAUUGAAUUCAACUCCAACUGAAGUCAUUAUCAGAAAAGUCAUUAUUGAAGAAUUAUGCUACUAUUCCUUGCUGAGAUGGAUGAGGGAAGGAAAAACAUAAUCUUAUUAACUUUUAAAAUUAUAUUUCAUUUAUGAGGUAAGGAAUUUAUGAAAUGAAACACUAAGCAUCAUAUUUCAGGUAAAUUUUGUGAUAUAAAUCAGUUGUAUUUAUAGAUUCAAAGCUAAGCUUGAAAAAAGUCUCAGAAGCUAAGGGGCUGAUGACCCUAUAAACUGUAAAAUGUGUUAACACCAAUAAAUUCUGGUCCCUCAGUUCAAAGGGCAUUUGAUUAUACGCUGCACUGUCAGUGCUACUCACAUCGGAGCUCAUCUUGGAAUGAUAAACAAGGCAGGCCUGUAAUGUAUACCAGAGAAUGACAAGAUGCACCUGUCCCUACAAGUUUUGAGACAAAACAGUAGGCACUUGCAGACAGCUGUGUCAUCUAUGAGAAAGUCUACUCAUAGGCUCACCAACAGGCAAGAAGAAACACCCCCAGCCAGUUUAGACUACAACAUCACAAUGUUUGCAUUGGUAUAUCUUUUAUUUCUCUGAGAUUAUUUUGAAUAGAAAACUAUGUUGGCUAAAAUCUAUUAGUAAAAUUCCUUUGUAUGUAAUAAAGGGCUGUUGAUCUCUGGUGGCUUUCAUUUCUAUGCACAACAUUUUAAAGUAUUUUAAUAAGUAUUACGUAAAUCAAUGUUAAUAAAUGUUCAAUUGGCAGAAGAACAUGAAUUAUUAUAUAAUUACCUUUAAAUAAUUUGCCUUAUGGUUUUUCAUCAGUAUGAUUUUUAAACAUUCUGAGGGUUUGAUUUACAUCUCUUUAAGAGGGAAAAAUUUUUUGCCUUAAUAGAAAUUUUUCCAGUCCUGAAUGUUUUACUUUGGUCAUUUAUGCCUAAUCACGCAUCUCUCACAAAG
rnacentral:lncRNA from 10 species